rnacentral:rRNA from 1 species
CCUACGGGUGGCAGCAGUCGAGAAUCAUUCACAAUGGGGGAAACCCUGAUGGUGCGACGCCGCGUGGGGGAAUGCAGGUCUUCGGAUUGUAAACCCCUGUCAUGUGGGAGCAAAUUAAAAAGAUAGUACCACAAGAGGAAGAGACGGCUAACUAGGUGCCAGCAGCCGCGGUAAUACAGAGGUCUCAAGCGUUGUUCGGAAUCACUGGGCGUAAAGCGUGCGUUGGCGGUUUCGUAAGUCGUGUGUGAAAGGCGAGGGCUCAACCCGCGGACGGCACAUGAUACUGCGAGACUAGAGUAAUGGAGGGGGAACCGGAAUUCUCGGUGUAGCAGUGAAAUGCGUAGAUAUCGAGAGGAACACUCGUGGCGAAGGCGGGUUCCUGGACAUUAACUGACGCUGAGGCACGAAGGUCAGGGGAGCGAAAGGGAUUAGAUACCCCUGUAGUC